CGCGAUUCAGUUUGAUUCGUUUGAACAGUUCACUCACACACUGAAUCGUUUGCAGCAGAUUCGCACACCGAAAUACGUACCAGGAUGUUUUUAUAAGACAGAAAACAGAGCACUGAAUGAGUACCUCAGUGAGUCUUCUACACAAAUGAUCCUCCCAUCCAUCAUCUGGAGGCAUCUCAGGAAUAAACACCCAGUCAGCACCACACGCAAGAGCAGUAACCAGAGCCAGGCAUUUCUUUGAACACCCUUUUGGAGACCACCAUAGGAACUAGCACAAAGUCUAAGAGGCAGAUCACUA